rnacentral:rRNA from 1 species
GGGGGAAUAUUGCACAAUGGGGGAAACCCUGAUGCAGCGACGCCGCGUGAACGAAGAAGGUAUUCGUAUCGUAAAGUUCUGUCCUAUGGGAAGAUAAUGACAGUACCAUAGAAGAAAGCUCCGGCUAAAUACGUGCCAGCAGCCGCGGUAAUACGUAUGGAGCGAGCGUUGUCCGGAAUUAUUGGGCGUAAAGGGUACGCAGGCGGUUUAAUAAGUCGAAUGUUAAAGAUCGGGGCUCAACCCCGCAAAGCAUUGGAAACUGAUAAACUUGAGUAGUGGAGAGGAAAGUGGAAUUCCUAGUGUAGUGGUGAAAUACGUAGAUAUUAGGAGGAAUACCAGUAGCGAAGGCGACUUUCUGGACACAAACUGACGCUGAGGUACGAAAGCGUGGGGAGCAAACAGG